rnacentral:sRNA from 1 species
UCCAGGCAUGGUGGUGCACGCCUGUAAUCUCAAUAGCUUGGGAGGCUGAGGCAGGAGGAUCAUGAGUUUAAAGCCAGCCUUAGCAAGGCACUAAGAAACUCAGUGAGACCUUGUCUCUA